UUGACCUCGGAUCAGGUAGGAAUACCCGCUGAACUUAAGCAUAUCAAAGCCGCGGAGGAAA
rnacentral:rRNA from 1 species